rnacentral:misc_RNA from 1 species
CCUAUUUUACGAGAGUUGACAGGCAGGUACUGGGUCACAGGAUUCUUGAUUACACGCAAAAGCUUCUCACGCUUACCAACAGCAGUUAUACUCAGUUUCUGAAGCAGCUGCAACAUAAUUCCAGCAAAUCGUUUAUAUGUCCUUGGUAUACGCACAUGUGGUUUAACUUCAAAAAGAACACCCUUAUCUGUUUUCACAUACACAGCUCGCAACCUCCCAGCCUUAUUUACUGGACUAUCUAAUAUUGAUAGGAGAGCCUGAUAAACAAUAUCAGGCCUAUAAUCAGCUGGAUUUUUGUUAUUUUUCCGCAAGAAAUUUGCAUGAUCGUCAGAAUUCAAAAUCUGGUAACUCUUUCCAACUUUAGCAACUUCCAAAGAGGCCCUCUCAAGCACAAAUAUAAGCCCAGGCUUUUUUGUUUUUAAAUCACUUGGAACAAUUGGGAUGCCUGCCAUUUCAUGUGUUUGCCCUUCUAAUUCUUCUUCUUCCUUCCCGCUGGUUUCCAUAGCCAUUUCUUUUUCUUCAACCAUAGCUCUUUUCGCU